AUGAUAAAAUGGAUGAUGCUGAUAGGCACAUGUACGUAGAUUCUCCUGUUGUUCCUAUUCAGAGGACUUGUGCCAAGAUCCAGACCCGGCUGGUGAACAAGAAAAAGCAUGACAAUGUGCCACUGGUGGUGACUCCUUUCAUGCUAGAGCAAUUCAGUGCUCCAUUUCAACCUGUACAAGUUCCAGAACCACUACAACAGCAACAAUAUCAACCAC
rnacentral:lncRNA from 1 species